GAGACAGUGUUGGUGGAAGAAGAGAACUUAAGGCCAGAAGUUGUGUGUGUGUGUGUGUGUGUGUGUGUAUAAUUAUGCCUGAAUAUGUUUUAUUUAUUAUAGUCUAUGUGUGAUUUUGUAUUUGAAAGUAGAUGCUUGAUUCUACCACAAUUAAAAAAAGGAUAUGCUUGGAUUUGUCUGUAGUAUGUGGGUGUGGAGGAGUUCAUUUGAACACGGGCAUUUUUGUGUGUCCAGGACGUAUCAACAGCCUCCUUAGAGGUGUCAUAUGUGCAGGGAAUACUGAAGAGAGUGCAUUAGUCUACAUGUCUCUCUAUAUAUUUUUUCUUUUUGUGUGUGUCUGGUUUUCCUAGAUUUCUCUCUUGCAUGUUUGUGGGUAUGAGAGUCUGUUAGUAUUAAUAUGUGAAUGGGUGUGUGCUAUUUGUCUGGGGAGGAUGAUUUAGGCAAGGAUUUGAAAGUGUGCAUUUAGAAAUUGAGGGCAUCUCUGUGUUAUUAUGAGUGUAUGUGUGUUUGUGUGUGCAUUUUAGAGUGGUUGGUUAUCUGUGUGUAUUUGCAAGGAGAAGGGGAAUUCAGUGUGUUUCUGUGUUUGUGUGUUUGUUUGUGAAUGGUAUGUUUUGCAGAGGAGUGUACUUUUUAUGUUCGAAAGUUAGGCAAUCAUGUAAUUUAUCAUCCAAAUGGGGAUACAUUUGAGAAUGAAAUAUAUAUGUGUGUGAAAGGAUGUCUUUGAAUGUACUUUUAAAAAUGCAUUUAAUUUUGUGUGUGUUAUUGGUGUCAGGAAUUAAGAAAAAGAAGAGAAGUACAGGAGAUAUCAUUAAAUUAUAUAGUUCUCUCUUCGACUGUAGCCUUAUAACAGGGACAUUAAUAGAAUUAACAGGUGGAAUCUAAUUGUCUCCCUUGGAAUCUGGGAUGGCUGUCCUACUUAUUUGACCAACAGAAUUUGUCAGAAGGGACUUUCUGUAACUUCUGAAGCUGUCUCAUAAGAAGCCUUGCAGAUUCUGCUCAUGUCUCUUUCCUCUCUGGGAAACAAGUCGCGACUCAGGGAUAAGCCUGAGACACAUGGAGAGAACAUCCUGAUCAAUCUGGUCUUUGCUGCUACCCUGGUCAACAGCCUGAGCUGGAUACCUGGCUGACAAGUACCACCUUUUUCCUACACAGAUGACAACCCAGCCCAUGAGCACCAGCUCAUUGACCAGAAUUAGCAACAUGGCCCUUCCUAACUAGAAGGGACCAGAAUGGAUAGUCCUUCUAUGUGUCCAGAAGGAGAGAAGGACCAGAUAUGUGUGAUCAUGUCUCCAUUAUGGGAGAAAAGAGAAUUGAAAAAGAAAGAAGAUCCACAUAGUGUCUGAGGAGCUGAGACAAAAGAAAAAUGCCACUGCUACUCCUUCACUUGCUCAUUCUGCAAAAGUUUGUAGAUCUUCUGCAAGGAGAACGGCAUUGUUAACUACCUACAGGAAGUGUCUCAGAUUAACAGACGUGUGUAGGAUUUCAGUCCCAUUUGAAUACACCCGAUGGAUGUACGACCUUGAGAAAUUUACUUAACACUUCCAGGUCAGCCCGGCGUGGUGGCUUAUGCCUGUAUUUCCAGCACUUGGGGAGGCCAAGCCGGGUGGAUCACGAGGUCAGGAGUCCGAGACCAGCCUGGCCAACAUGGUGAAAACCUGUCUCUACUAAAGAUACAAAAAUUAUCUGGG
rnacentral:lncRNA from 1 species